rnacentral:siRNA from 1 species
UCCAUGAGUACCUUGGCAUGAUG